rnacentral:lncRNA from 1 species
CACCAUUGACAUAGAGACUGUGCCUGUCCAGGGUGUAGGGGCCCAGCUCAGUGAUGCCGUGGGUCAGCUGGCUCAGCUUCCAGUACAGCCGCUCUCUGUCCAGUCCAGGGCUUUUGGGGUCAGGACGAUGGGUGCAGACAGCAUCCACUCUGGUGGCUGCCCCAUCCUUCUCAGGCCUAGGGAGGGCAGAUGAAGCAAAUAACAAUUUAAAAAUUGCCUCAGGAGGAGUUCUGAGAUUUCCUGGGGCCAGACAGGAAGGGGCCAGAGGAAAUGAGAAGCCUGGGAAAGAGGUAAUAAGUCACAUUUAGAUUCUCUGAGUGUCCCGGCUGCCAGCCAGCCCAGGACUGUGAACAGAGUCAUAGAUGCAAGAACUUUUUAUAAAAUUGCAAAGUAAAGCCUGCAUUCUCAUGGCAUGGAGACAAGAGUACUCAGACAUGAGACAGAUGAAGAGCUGGAAUUGGGGAUGAAAGCAAGUGGAUGAGGCAUGCUUGUCUUGUGAGAAAUCCUGGGGACAGAAUUUAACAACUGGAGGAAAGGGAGGUGGGUGGAAAGGAGGGAAUUCAGAGGGAUGACCAAGGUAGAAGCACAAUUCUCCUCAUGGACUCUGCAGAAUCUCGCAGUUGAUUGGGGUGGUGCUGAUGGUAUCAGGAGACAGAUUAGUUUUGAAGCCAAUGCUUCCCGAAUUCCAUCUGUUGUGAGGACAUUCACAGGGAUGGCAGGAAAAAAAAAAACAAUCCAAACUCUUUGCGACUAGGAACAAUUGGGGCAGCUAGGCUAGCUCUUCUAAAGUCUCACCUGAGCAAGGUCAGUCUGCAACCAGAGUACAGAGAGCUGACACUGGUGUUCUUGAACAAGGGCAUAAGCUGUGGAAGAGGGAGAGGGAGGUGACUAGGAGGGCUGGGGAUAUAGUGGUGGGGCACAAGUGUGGCGAGUGCAGCUGGCACCAGUGGGCAGGGCUUGUGUCUCUAGGGGAGAUGGAUGAGAUUUUCUUCCAUGGCCCUGGCAUGGGUGAUGUUGUUGGGACCAGGUAACGUGGGAGGGGCAGAGUAAGUUGGACAGGGGUCUCACCAGACCCUGAAGGACCCUCUCCGUGGUGUUGAACUUCCUGGAGCCAGGGCGACGCAUGUCCUCCUCAUACUGCAGGUUGGUGAUGGUGAAGUUGAGGGUGAAUGGCACCAGGAGAGGGCCAGCAGCUGUAGUGGAGGUGGGAAACAAACACUAUGUCCAAAGUAGAGAAAAUAGG